UUCCUACUUACUACAUAGUCACCAGGCGAAGUGCUCGUGCUCUUUCGGGAUCAUCCAAGCGACUAAUGAAUAGCUAGAAGCCUUAUCUGCCUGCCUAUCAGUAGGCGACAGAGACAAAAACCCGAACACGAUAUAUUUCAAUUUCAAAGUCUAUGUUCACAAUGACCCACGCAAAGUUUCAAUGACAUUCCAACUUGAUUUGAGCUGCAUAUCAACAAGUAGGGAACCGAACGCUUCAAGGCAUGGACAGGGAUAGGUCACCGACAUUUAUGCNCCAGGGAUAGGUCACCGACAUUUAUGCCCCAAACAUGACAUUUUUUUAUUUCAACGCCUUUCAUUUAUAAUAAAAAGCAUCCCUACAAAAUUUCGUGUGAAUCCGAAUUAAUUCGAGCGAGUUAUGGACGAUUUCGCAAAAUUAUGCAUUCCUGGGCC
rnacentral:lncRNA from 1 species